rnacentral:misc_RNA from 1 species
GGACAGACUAUAAGAGAGAUAAAUUCAAAAAGUGCUGAUAAAGGUGAAAUUAAAAUAUGAUUGUUUAUAUAAGCUGUUUUACUUGAAGUAAUGUUGCAAUCUAUAGAAAUGGUAUGUGCUUGUUAGGAAUAUGAUGGAGAAUUCAUUUUUGUUUUAGUUAAUCAUAAUCUGCAUCCACUUUUUUAUCAAUUUGAAAUUUUUUCAGUUUCAUUUUCUUUUAAAUUCCUUUUUUCUGUUGUUUUUUGAUUGUUUAAUAUUUGAAAAAUAAUGGAAAAAUAAUUUUUAUUUCAUGCUGCUAUGCUGUGCAAAAUACAGGUAUUGUGCAAUGAAAACCGAAGUUGGCCACCUAAAUAUAUUUCUUGUUGAUGAAUGGAUUAUUAUUAAAUAUGUAGAAAAU